UACGGGGGGGCAAGCGUUGUUCGGAAUUACUGGGCGUAAAGGGCUUGUAGGCGGCCAACUAAGUCAGACGUGAAAUCCCUCGGCUUAACCGGGGAACUGCGUCUGAUACUGGAUGGCUUGAGUUCGGGAGAGGGAUGCGGAAUUCCAGGUGUAGCGGUGAAAUGCGUAGAUAUCUGGAGGAACACCGGUGGCGAAGGCGGCAUCCUGGACCGACACUGACGCUGAAAAGCGAAAGCCAGGGGAGCAAACGGG
rnacentral:rRNA from 1 species